UUGAAGUCGGGGUUUCCCCCUUUUUGUUGGUUUCUUUUCCCCGACGAAGUCUUGAUUUGAUAAGUCUUCCCUGUUGGAUCUUUAGUUCAUUUUCUAACUAUUCAUUGGUUAUUCUCGAGUUCUUCCUUUUCCCCUGCGGAACUUUGUUUGUCCCCAACCGAGUCCCCCCUUUGGAAUUUGUCAUUCCCCUGCGAAAUUUCCA
rnacentral:lncRNA from 1 species